rnacentral:rRNA from 1 species
UACAGAGGGUGCGAGCGUUGUUCGGAAUUAUUGGGCGUAAAGGGCGUGUAGGCGGUGCGGUAAGUCACCUGUGAAAUCUCCUGGCUCAACUGGGAGCUUGCAGUCGAAACUGCCGUGCUGGAGUGUGGGAGAGGUGCGUGGAAUUCCUGGUGUAGCGGUGAAAUGCGUAGAUAUCGGGAGGAACACCUGUGGCGAAAGCGGCUCACUGGACCACAACUGACGCUGAGGCGCGAAAGCUAGGGGAGCAAACAGG